rnacentral:rRNA from 1 species
AGAGUUUGAUCCUGGCUCAGAGCGAACGCUGGCGGAAUGCCUAACACAUGCAAGUCGAGCGCCCCGGCGACGGGNNGGGCGGACGGGUGAGUAACACGUAGGAACGCAUCCUGAGGUGGGGGAAACCCUGGGAAACCGGGGCUAAUACCGCAUAUGGCCUGAGGGCCAAAGCCGAGAGGCGCCUUUGGGGCGGCUUGCGUCCGAUUAGGUAGUUGGCGGGGUAAUGGCCCACCAAGCCUGCGAUCGGUAGCUGGUCUGAGAGGAUGGCCAGCCACACUGGGACUGAGACACGGCCCAGACUCCUACGGGAGGCAGCAGUGGGGAAUAUUGGACAAUGGGGGAAACCCUGAUCCAGCAAUUCCGCGUGGGUGAAGAAGGUCCUCGGAUCGUAAAGCCCUUUUGGCAGGGAAGAUUGUGACGGUACCUGCAGAAUAAGCCCCGGCUAACUUCGUGCCAGCAGCCGCGGUAAUACGAAGGGGGCUAGCGUUGCUCGGAAUCAUUGGGCGUAAAGGGCGCGUAGGCGGCCCACACAGUCGGGCGUGAAAUUCCCGGGCUCAACCUGGGGCGUGCGCUCGAGACGUGCGGGCUUGAGGAUGGAAGAGGGUCGCGGAAUUCCCAGUGUAGAGGUGAAAUUCGUAGAUAUUGGGAAGAACACCGGUGGCGAAGGCGGCGACCUGGUCCAUCACUGACGCUGAGGCGCGACAGCGUGGGGAGCAAACAGGAUUAGAUACCCUAGUAGUCC